rnacentral:rRNA from 1 species
AUUGAACGCUGGCGGCAGGCCUAACACAUGCAAGUCGAACGAGUGGCGGACGGGUGAGUAAUGUCUGGGAAACUGCCCGAUGGAGGGGGAUAACUACUGGACACGGUAGCUAAUACCGCAUACCAUCGGAUGUGCCCAGAUGGGAUUAGCUUGUAGGUGAGGUAACGGCUCACCUAGGCGACGAUCCCUCGCUGGUCUGGGAGGAUGACCAGCCACACUGGAACUGUGACACGGUCCAGACUCCUACGGGAGGCAGCAGUGGGGAAUAUUGCACAAUGGGCGCAAGCCUGAUGCAGCCAUGCCGCGUGGAUGAAGAAGGCCUUCGGGUUGUAAAGUACUUUCAGCGGGGAGGCGUUACCCGAAGAAGAAGCACCGGCUAACUCCGUGCCAGCCUCCGCGGUAAUAC